rnacentral:pre_miRNA from 1 species
AUAUGCUUGGCUCCUCAUACGCCAUACACGGAGGGCCAUCGGUUCUUCGGUGGGCUCUGCAAAUGGCAUACAGGGAGCCAGGCAUAU